rnacentral:rRNA from 1 species
GACGAACCGUGCGAACGUUGUUCGGAAUCACUGGGCAUAAAGGGCGCGUAGGCGGGCAUUCAAGUCAGGGGUGAAAUCCCCCAGCUUAACUGGGGAACUGCCUUUGAUACUGGGUGCCUCGAGUGAGGUAGGGGCGUGCGGAACUGAUGGUGGAGCGGUGAAAUGUGUUGAUAUCAUCAGGAACUCCGGUGGCGAAAGCGGCACGCUGGACCUUUACUGACGCUGAGGCGCGAAAGCCAGGGUAGCGAACGGG